AGAGUUUGAUCCUGGCUCAGGACGAACGCUGGCGGCGUGCUUAACACAUGCAAGUCACGGGGGCCCGCAAGGGCAACCGGCGAACGGGUGCGUAACACGUGAGCAACCUGCCUAGAUGUGGGGGAUAGCCGGCCCAACGGCCGGGUAAUACCGCAUACGGUCACGAGGAGGAGUCUCCUUGUGAAGAAACCUCCGGGGCAUUUAGAGGGGCUCGCGGCCUAUCAGCUAGUUGGCGGGGUAAUGGCCCACCAAGGCUUCGACGGGUAGCUGGUCUGAGAGGAUGGCCAGCCACAUUGGGACUGAGAGACGGCCCAGACUCCUACGGGAGGCAGCAGUGGGGAAUCUUGCGCAAUGGCCGAAAGGCUGACGCAGCGACGCCGCGUGUGGGAGGACGCCCUUCGGGGUGUAAACCACUGUUGCCCGGGACGAACAUCCACUUUCGAGUGGACUGACGGUACCGGGUGAGGAAGCACCGGCUAACUCCGUGCCAGCAGCCGCGGUAAUACGGAGGGUGCGAGCGUUGUCCGGAAUCACUGGGCGUAAAGGGCGCGUAGGCGGCGCGGAAAGUCAACGGUGAAAGCUUGGGGCUCAACCCCGAGUCGGCCGUCGAUACUUCCGUGCUCGAGCACUGUAGAGGCAGGUGGAAUUCCGGGUGUAGCGGUGGAAUGCGUAGAGAUCCGGAAGAACACCGGUGGCGAAGGCGGCCUGCUGGGCAGCAGCUGACGCUGAUGCGCGACAGCGUGGGGAGCAAACAGGAUUAGAUACCCUGGUAGUCC
rnacentral:rRNA from 1 species